GAUGGUUCCCCCCAAAAUUGCCUGCAAAAGAACAAUUCAGUGAACUUCAAAUUCAGAUAUAUCAAAAGGAAUUUGUGGGUUACAAUGGAUAUAGCAAAGACGGGAGUGUGGCAUGGUUUAUAAGUUUCUUGAAGCAGAAACUUUGAAAGGAGCACCUGACUUUAUUUAUUACCAAAACCCAUGACUUAAGCUGACAGAUUUGAAAAAUGAAAGUUUGCAUGAAAUUUAAAAACCAUCAACCACACCAAGAAAAACUUUCAUGCAUUAGAAAUUAAAUGCUGUUCUUGAGCAAUGAAAAACAUAACAGCAAAGUUUUACCUGAGUAACACUCAAAACAGCAU
rnacentral:misc_RNA from 1 species